rnacentral:tRNA from 1 species
GUGGCUGUAGCUUAAUCGGUAGAGCAUCAGAUUGUGGUUCUGAGGGUUGGGGGUUCGAGUCCCCUCAGCCACC